rnacentral:rRNA from 1 species
GAUAAACGCUGGCGGCGUGCUUAACACAUGCAAGUCGAACGAAGUUUUUCCUUCGGGAGAUACUUAGUGGCGGACGGGUGAGUAACGCGUGGGUAACCUGCCCUGUACAGGGGGACAACAGCUGGAAACGGCUGCUAAUACCGCAUAAGCCCUUAGCACUGCAUGGUGCAUAGGGAAAAGGAGCAAUCCGGUACAGGAUGGACCCGCGUCUGAUUAGCCAGUUGGCAGGGUAACGGCCUACCAAAGCGACGAUCAGUAGCCGAUCUGAGAGGAUGUACGGCCACAUUGGGACUGAGACACGGCCCAGACUCCUACGGGAGGCAGCAGUGGGGAAUAUUGCACAAUGGAGGAAACUCUGAUGCAGCGACGCCGCGUGAGUGAAGAAGUAUUUCGGUAUGUAAAGCUCUAUCAGCAGGGAAGAAAAUGACGGUACCUGACUAAGAAGCACCGGCUAAAUACGUG